CAGUAGCCGCGGUAAUACGAAGGGUGCAAGCGUUACUCGGAAUUACUGGGCGUAAAGCGUGCGUAGGUGGUGGUUUAAGUCCGUUGUGAAAGCCCUGGGCUCAACCUGGGAAUUGCAGUGGAUACUGGGUCACUAGAGUGUGGUAGAGGAUAGUGGAAUUUCCGGUGUAGCAGUGAAAUGCGUAGAGAUCGGAAGGAACAUCUGUGGCGAAGGCGACUAUCUGGGCCAACACUGACACUGAGGCACGAAAGCGUGGGGAGCAAACAGGAUUAGAUACCCGUGUAGUCCCUGUCUCUUAUAU
rnacentral:rRNA from 1 species